GGCUAGUUAGUUAAAAAAAAAUAUUGGUUUUGUAGUCCAAAGUUAGCUUUUCGCUACUAGCCU
rnacentral:tRNA from 1 species